rnacentral:rRNA from 1 species
GAUGAAUCCUGGCGGCGUGGAUAAGGCAUGCAAGUCGAACGGAAUCCUUCUUGAAGAAGUUGCGAUUACAUCAAGAUGACGGAUUGAAGGAUUCAGUGGCGAACGAGUUAGUAACACCUUGGUACGUACCCUCCAGUCGGGCACAACGGGGCGAAAGUUCCGCUAAUUCCCGAUGGUCCAGCAAUGGUAAAGAAGCAAUUCACUGGAGGAGCGGCCUAGGUCCUAUCAGCUUGUUGGUGAGGUAACGGCUCACCAAGGCUACGACGGGUAGGGGCGUGAGAGCGUGACCCUCAACGACGAAACUGAGAUACGGUUCGUACACCUACGGGUGGCAGCAGUCGAGAAUAUUCCGCAAUGGGCGCAAGCCUGACGGAGCGACGCCGCGUGCAGGAAGAA